rnacentral:rRNA from 1 species
GCGAUAAGCGCCGGUAAGGUGAUAUGAACCGUUAUAACCGGCGAUACCCGAAUGGGGAAACCCAGUGUGAUUCGUCACACUAUCAUUAACUGAAUCCAUAGGUUAAUGAGGCGAACCGGGGGAACUGAAACAUCUAAGUACCCCGAGGAAAAGAAAUCAACCGAGAUUCCCCCAGUAGCGGCGAGCGAACGGGGAGGAGCCCAGAGCCUGAAUCAGCAUGUGUGUUAGUGGAAGCGUCUGGAAAGGCGCGCGAUACAGGGUGACAGCCCCGUACACAAAAGCGCAUGUGCUGUGAGCUCGAUGAGUAGGGCGGGACACGUGGUAUCCUGUCUGAAUAUGGGGGGACCAUCCUCCAAGGCUAAAUACUCCUGACUGACCGAUAGUGAACCAGUACCGUGAGGGAAAGGCGAAAAGAACCCCGGCGAGGGGAGUGAAAAAGAACCUGAAACCGUGUACGUACAAGCAGUGGGAGCACAGGUUUACCUGUGUGACUGCGUACCUUUUGUAUAAUGGGUCAGCGACUUAUAUUCUGUAGCAAGGUUAACCGUAUAGGGGAGCCGGAGGGAAACCGAGUCUUAAUUGGGCGUUAAGUUGCAGGGUAUAGACCCGAAACCCGGUGAUCUAGCCAUGGGCAGGUUGAAGGUUGGGUAACACUAACUGGAGGACCGAACCGACUAAUGUUGAAAAAUUAGCGGAUGACCUGUGGCUGGGGGUGAAAGGCCAAUCAAACCGGGAGAUAGCUGGUUCUCCCCGAAAGCUAUUUAGGUAGCGCCUCGUGAAUUCAUCUCCGGGGGUAGAGCACUGUUUCGGCUAGGGGGCCAUCCCGGCUUACCAACCCGAUGCAAACUGCGAAUACCGGAGAAUGUUAUCACGGGAGACACACGGCGGGUGCUAACGUCCGUCGUGAAGAGGGAAACAACCCAGACCGCCAGCUAAGGUCCCAAAGUCAUGGUUAAGUGGGAAACGAUGUGGGAAGGCCCAGACAGCCAGGAUGUUGGCUUAGAAGCAGCCAUCAUUUAAAGAAAGCGUAAUAGCUCACUGGUCGAGUCGGCCUGCGCGGAAGAUGUAACGGGGCUAAACCAUGCACCGAAGCUGCGGCAGCGAACGUAUCACCCAAGACAACUUUACGGAGUUGACGAUUGACGGAGCGAAGCGACGUCAAAGCGUUCAUUAAAGUCGAGUUGGCUUAGGGAUACGUUCGUUGGGUAGGGGAGCGUUCUGUAAGCCUGUGAAGGUGUGUCGUGAGGCAUGCUGGAGGUAUCAGAAGUGCGAAUGCUGACAUAAGUAACGAUAAAGCGGGUGAAAAGCCCGCUCGCCGGAAGACCAAGGGUUCCUGUCCAACGUUAAUCGGGGCAGGGUGAGUCGACCCCUAAGGCGAGGCCGAAAGGCGUAGUCGAUGGGAAACGGGUUAAUAUUCCCGUACUUGGUGUUACUGCGAAGGGGGGACGGAGAAGGCUAUGUUGGCCGGGCGACGGUUGUCCCGGUUUAAGCGUGUAGGUGUGUGUUCCAGGUAAAUCCGGUUCACUUUAACACUGAGGCGUGACGACGAGGCACUACGGUGCUGAAGCAACAAAUGCCCUGCUUCCAGGAAAAGCCUCUAAGCAUCAGGUAACAUCAAAUCGUACCCCAAACCGACACAGGUGGUCAGGUAGAGAAUACCAAGGCGCUUGAGAGAACUCGGGUGAAGGAACUAGGCAAAAUGGUGCCGUAACUUCGGGAGAAGGCACGCUGACACGUAGGUGAAGUGAUUUACUCAUGGAGCUGAAGUCAGUCGAAGAUACCAGCUGGCUGCAACUGUUUAUUAAAAACACAGCACUGUGCAAACACGAAAGUGGACGUAUACGGUGUGACGCCUGCCCGGUGCCGGAAGGUUAAUUGAUGGGGUCAGCGCAAGCGAAGCUCCUGAUCGAAGCCCCGGUAAACGGCGGCCGUAACUAUAACGGUCCUAAGGUAGCGAAAUUCCUUGUCGGGUAAGUUCCGACCUGCACGAAUGGCGUAAUGAUGGCCAGGCUGUCUCCACCCGAGACUCAGUGAAAUUGAACUCGCUGUGAAGAUGCAGUGUACCCGCGGCAAGACGGAAAGACCCCGUGAACCUUUACUAUAGCUUGACACUGAACAUUGAGCCUUGAUGUGUAGGAUAGGUGGGAGGCUUUGAAGUGUGGACGCCAGUCUGCAUGGAGCCGACCUUGAAAUACCACCCUUUAAUGUUUGAUGUUCUAACGUGGACCCGUAAUCCGGGUUGCGGACAGUGUCUGGUGGGUAGUUUGACUGGGGCGGUCUCCUCCUAAAGAGUAACGGAGGAGCACGAAGGUUGGCUAAUCCUGGUCGGACAUCAGGAGGUUAGUGCAAUGGCAUAAGCCAGCUUGACUGCGAGCGUGACGGCGCGAGCAGGUGCGAAAGCAGGUCAUAGUGAUCCGGUGGUUCUGAAUGGAAGGGCCAUCGCUCAACGGAUAAAAGGUACUCCGGGGAUAACAGGCUGAUACCGCCCAAGAGUUCAUAUCGACGGCGGUGUUUGGCACCUCGAUGUCGGCUCAUCACAUCCUGGGGCUGAAGUAGGUCCCAAGGGUAUGGCUGUUCGCCAUUUAAAGUGGUACGCGAGCUGGGUUUAGAACGUCGUGAGACAGUUCGGUCCCUAUCUGCCGUGGGCGCUGGAGAACUGAGGGGGGCUGCUCCUAGUACGAGAGGACCGGAGUGGACGCAUCACUGGUGUUCGGGUUGUCAUGCCAAUGGCACUGCCCGGUAGCUAAAUGCGGAAGAGAUAAGUGCUGAAAGCAUCUAAGCACGAAACUUGCCCCGAGAUGAGUUCUCCCUGAGACUUAGAGUCUCCUGAAGGAACGU